UACGAAGGGGGCUAGCGUUGCUCGGAAUUACUGAGCGUAAAGGGCGCGUAGGCGGAUAUUUAAGUUAGAGGUGAAAGCCCAGGGCUCAACCCUGGAAUAGCCUUUAAUACUGGAUAUCUUGAGUUCGGGAGAGGUGAGUGGAACUCCGAGUGUAGAGGUGAAAUUCGUAGAUAUUCGGAAGAACACCAGUGGCGAAGGCGACUCACUGGCCCGAUACUGACGCUGAGGCGCGAAAGCGUGGGGAGCAAACAGGG
rnacentral:rRNA from 1 species